GUGCUUGCUUUGAAAGCACACAUACCAAAAUUGGAAUGAUACAGAGAAGAUUAGCAUGGCCCCGAUACAAGGGUGACACACACGUUCAUGGAGCAUUCCAAAGUUUU
ensembl:snRNA U6 U6 spliceosomal RNA